rnacentral:rRNA from 1 species
CCUACGGGAGGCUGCAGUGAGGAAUAUUGGUCAAUGGGCGCGAGCCUGAACCAGCCAAGUCGCGUGAGGGAAGACGGUCCUAUGGAUUGUAAACCUCUUUUGUCGGGGAGCAAAAGACGCCACGCGUGGCGUUCCGAGAGUACCCGACGAACAAGCAUCGGCUAACUCCGUGCCAGCAGCCGCGGUAAUACGGAGUAUGCGAUCGUUAUCCGGAUUUAUUGGGUUUAAAGGGUGCGCAGGCGGAAGAUCAAGUCAGCGGUAAAAUUGAGAGGCUCAACCUCUUCGAGCCGUUGAAACUGGUUUUCUGGAGUGAGUGAGAGGUAUGCGGAAUGCGUGGUGUAGCGGUGAAAUGCAUAGAUAUCACGCAGAACUCCGAUUGCGAAGGCAGCAUACCGGCGCUCAACUGACGCUCAUGCACGAAAGUGUGGGUAUCGAACAGGAUUAGAUACCCGAGUAGUC